rnacentral:rRNA from 1 species
UACGAAGGGGGCUAGCGUUGCUCGGAAUCACUGGGCGUAAAGCGCACGUAGGCGGCUUACUAAGUCAGGGGUGAAAUCCUGGAGCUCAACUCCAGAACUGCCUUUGAUACUGAAGAUCUUGAGUUCGGGAGAGGUGAGUGGAACUGCGAGUGUAGAGGUGAAAUUCGUAGAUAUUCGCAAGAACACCAGUGGCGAAGGCGGCUCACUGGCCCGAUACUGACGCUGAGGCACGAAAGCGUGGGGAGCAAACAGG